rnacentral:lncRNA from 1 species
CUGCUAGAGAGCAGGGCAAGGCCAAAGGGUCAGAGGCUCGAGGAAUGCGGGGUGGUGUCGGGGGGUAAAAGGACAUACCUGAGAAGGCCCCAGACCCUCGCUCCACCAGGAGGUAAGGAAACUGAAGCCUCAGGCGAAGAGAUGAUUUCAAAGAACUUCAGAGCUAAGAGUCUUCUUCGACUAAAGUAGGCCCCCAUGUUUCCUGGGAGAGGUGGAGCUUGAGGCUUGAGUGGGCUUAAAAAACAAUGAGGAUUCUGACAAACACAAAAGAGGGAGAGAAAGAGAGAACUUGAAGGGCCAGUUCCAGAGACCCUGUGACCUCAGGCUCCAGAGAUGGCUCCGUAAGGCAAACUCACCAUGACCACUGGUCAAUGACUCACUUCUCCUCCCAGGCGCCCUCCCAGGGAUGAGCGCUCCUUCACUCUGCCUCCCUCAGCCCUUGCUCCGGUCUCUCUGCAGCUGGGGUCAGUGUUCCCAGUGAAGUCAGCGUGUGGAGCACACAUGCCUCGUACCCACAUUCAUGCCCAUGUGUGCGUGUGCACACGCAUGUGGGGCCUGUGUGUCUCUUUCUCUGAGACCCACUCAAGAUCUGCAUGCACCUCGGGCCCCCUCCCAGAGUGCUGCAGCCAGAUGCACCUGGAGCCCCACCCGUCAGCCCAGGGAGACAUGCCCCUGCUGAAUUCAGAGAAUGAUCCAGAAGGAUUCAGGAAAUGAGGACCAUUCAUGAACCCAGCGACUGAUGAAGAGCACCUUCCUCACAUCCGCUGCCAAACUCACCCGAAAAGAAGAGACAGAGGAAGACCCCAGAGGAUUGCAAUUUGAGGACACCUCCAACUCAUGCUCACUGCACUUGGUCCAAAAUGAUCAGAGGGGAGAUUUGGCUCAUGCUCUGGCCUCACUGGCUCCCAUCACCAUUGCCUCUGCCCCUCCAGCCUCUGCCAGGCGCCUGGCUCUGACCCUUGCUGACACUUCAGGCCCCUCACCCUUAGAACUGACUGCCAAAGGGCUAGUUGCUUAGUCUUCAAGUAAAGGGGGUCUGGAGGACUAUGGAGGAGGCAUAGUGCCUAGAGAGCCCCUCGCCUCAAGACACCCCCACUGCACUUGGGAGGAAAGGCAGGGCUGGGGGAUGGAGGCACUGUGGGGGCCUUUCCUAUUUGGCAGCAGCUGCAGCCAUGCGCACCAUAGCCACAGCACGCAGCACACAUCUUCUGUCUCACAGUGAUUGAAGAUUUUGCCAAACCACCGGUCAGACAGAUUUCCCCCCAAGCCCCACAUUAAUUGAUUUUUGGAUUCUGCAACCCAAGCUCAAGCUCAAGCUCCGAGCUCACUGCUGAGCUCAGACUCCUGGGUGUCCCACAACGGCUUCGAUGUGGAGGCCAUGACGCUGAAGCCAAAGUUGUCAGACACCUGGGCUGCACUUGCCUGUGCAACGAGCCUGGGAAAGCAGCUCUGGGGAUUGCACCCACAGUGCCAGGGCUCGGGAGCCUCUGAGCUCAGGGAGGCCUUCAGGGACAGGCGCUCGGCCAGCUGCCUGGGUAGGCUACUAAUGAGCAGAUGUGUUCCAGGCUGUCUGCCCAAGGGGCAGCUGCACCUGGGCUGGAGAGCUGAGACUCUCUGGGGUUCUGCAGCCUCUGUCCUCCUCAGCCUGGCCCGACAGCCCCUCGUUCUGAUACAGGAGGGCACAGCUGCCUGACGCCCCUCCUUCCCCAUCUCUGCCUCUCUAAUCUUCCUUGAGGAAGAUUCCAUCAGAGGUUUUACUUACAUAUUCCUACACCAUGCCUGGAACAUAGUAGGUACUCAAUAAAUCCAACUUUUCCUGAGUUAGUGGUGAGGAAAAGCUGGACUCAGGAUCAGGCUGCCUGUGAAGCCUGGCCUGUAGCCUGCCAGCUCUCCCAGCCUCAGGGUCCUCACACCCACACGUGUGUGCAGUAACAGAGCACUUCUUGCCUGCAACAGUGCCUGGUUCCCAGUGUAUGCCACUGGGAUCCGUAUUAUUAUUAAGUGAUCCGUAUUAUUAUUUUAUCUUAAGAGAGGAAUCCAGCUGUGUCCAAAUGAGGGGUUGGGACAAAAUAAAAGCUAGAAUCCAGUCUUGCAGGUGGGGACAUGGCACCUGGGUCUCCACACUGACCCGUGCUGCCCACCCUCUCACAUGCUAUCUAGAGACGGCACUCCUUGUGGAAUGCUGCAGGAGGUGCUCCACUGGCACGAAGUGGGUGGGCUCUUAGCACAGACCCAAACAGUAAGUGACUUUUCACACUCCCAUCGCAUCUCCAAAGCUACAUGCAAAACACUGAUCUUCACAGGGGUUAGAACACAACUUCCAGAAGGCCUCUUUCUUUUUUUUUUUUUUCUCCCUUUUUUUUUUUUAUUAUUAUACUUUAAGUUCUGAGAUACAUGUGCAGAACAUGCAGGUUUGUUACAUAGGUAUACAAGAGCCAUGGUGGUUUGCUGCACCCAUCAACCCGUCAUCUACAUUACGUAUUUCUCCUAAUGCUAUCCCUCCCCUAACCCCCAACCCCCUGGCAGGCCCCAGUGUGUGAUGUUCCCCUCCCUGUGUUCAUGUGCUCUCACUGUUCAACUCCCACUUAUGAGGGAGAACAAGCAGUGUUUGGUUUUCUGUUCCUGUGUUAGUUUGCUGAGAAUGAUGGUUUCCAGCUUCAUCCAUGUCCCUGCAAAGGACAUGAAGUCAUCCUUUUUGAUGGCUGUAUAGUAUUCCAUGGUGUAUAUGUGCCAUGUUUUCUUUAUCCAGUCUAUCAUUGAUGGGCAUUUGGGUUGGUUCCAAGUCUUUGUUAUUGUGAACAGUGCUGCAAUAAACAUACGUGUGCAUGCGUCUUUAUAGUAGAAUAAUUGAUAAUCCUUUUGUUAUAUACCCAGUAAUGGCAUUGUUGGGUCAAAUGGUAUUUCUUGUUCUAGAUCCUUGAGGAAUCGCCACACUGUCUUUCACAAUGGUUGAACUGGUUUACACUCCCACCAACAGUGUAAAAGCAUGCCUAUUUUUCCACAUCCUCUCCAGCAUCUGUUGUUGCCUGACUUUUUAAUGAUCACCAUUCUAACUAGCAUGAGAUGGUAUCUCAUUAUGGUUUUGAUUUGCAUUUCUCUAAUGACCAUUUCUCUAAUGAUGAGCUUUUUUUCAUAUGUUUGUUGGCUGCAAAAAUGUCUUCUUUUGAGAAGUGUCCAUUCAUAUCUUUUGCCCAUUUUUUGAGUGGGGUUGCUUUUUUCUUAUAAACUUGUUAAAGUUCCUUAUAGAUUCUGGAUAUUAGCCCUUUGUCAGAUGGAUAGAUUGCAAAAAUUUUCUCCCAUUCUGUAGGUUGUCUGUUCACUCUGAUGAUAGUUUCUUUUGCUGUGCAGAAGCUCUUUAGUUUAAUUAGAU